UUAUGCAAAGCCUAUGCAUAAUAUUAACCUAUAAUAUUAAGCCCAUGCAAAUUGCCCAUGAUCAUUGUUUCACUUAUGUACAGGUAUGGCCUGUUUAAUUUUGUUAAGUCUAUUGUUAUUAUCUUGCCCGUUGCUUUUAUAUUCCUUCCAUUUAUAUCACGUUUUCUUAACCUAAUUUAUUCAUCACUUAAACCUAACCCUAGCCGUCAAUUUUAUCUCAAAACCUCUAAAACAUCGCUGUUCAAAUCAUCCUCUUUAUGCUCGUGAAAUUAGCGUUAUAUUUGGAUCCGUCUUGUCCCUGUGAUACUAGACUCACGCCUCUACGAUUCUCAACUUCGUUUUCUCAUUCGACUCUUCGACUACUCGCGCUCCGGAGUCGAAACAGGGUUAGCUGUUUGCCAAGAUCACGUGGAUAAGCAAGCUGGUUAUGAUCUGAGAGAGUCUGGUGAUCUCCGCAUUUACUUUUCCUCGGAGGUUCCAUUUAUUUUUAUAAACUGUCAAACUAUUUUAUUCUUAGACCGCAGUAGUUGACUAGACGUCUUUAUUAUUGUUACAGUUGUAUGUCGGAUUGGUCUGACUGGUUAUAUUGCUCUGGCAUGUUAUGUAUUUAUUUCGGAUUAUUUAUGUUAUGCCUAUUUUAGACCCGGAAUUGAAUAAGUAUGUUAUAUUAACUGUUGAUUAUCAUAACUGCUAGUUUAGGCUGAAGUCUCGGUUGCCCCCGAGCAUUGGUUUUCUGCAGGUUUAUGUAUUUAUGAAUUAAAUGAAAGGCUAGCUACGGGUUUCGGUACUACAUUACCCAUACCCUAGCGCCGGUCGCGAUUCAUGAAAAUGGGUCGUGACAAACUUGGUAUCAGAGCUUUAGUUUCGAACUAACGCCAAAUUUUUUUUUUUUUCAUGUUAUGUGUUUAUCGUUUUAAGGCAUGUUAAGUGUUAUUAUUGUGUCAUAGGAUCUACUGCGGAAUUAGGUUCAUGUCUUGUCUUUGAAACGUCAUCUUUUAAAUUUUAAAACUUUCUGCCUACAACGAUAGGAUUGCGUCAAGUCAGUCAUUAUUUUUGCUUUGAUUUGAUGCUUUUAUUGAUGUUAUUUCACUUGGAUGAUUUUAAUUGCUUUUGAUUUCUCGGGAAAUCUUAUUUGGUAAUUUUCUUUAAGUCAUGCUUUGGCAUGAUGUUAUUUUCUUUUCAUGUUGUUGAUGUGUUUUACUGGGUGAUAGUAUCCUGGCUUUUAUGCCUUUAAUUAAUUGUUGAGGUUGAAUUAUUUUAUAAGUCUUUCUGGCGUUGGCCGAGAGUCUUGAAUUUAAAAAUGAUAUUUUUUCAGAUUUGACACUGUUUCGGGUUUAAAUGAUUUUUAACUGAUUUUUUUUUCUCCACGUUUUGUGGAUUACGUUGCUGGCCACGUAAUGGUUUUAAAUUUUCUUAAGAAAAUUUCUUUGGCCUAACUGGUAU